rnacentral:rRNA from 1 species
UGGGGAAUUUUGGACAAUGGGCGAAAGCCUGAUCCAGCAAUGCCGCGUGUGUGAAGAAGGCCUUCGGGUUGUAAAGCACUUUUGUCCGGAAAGAAAUCCUUGGCUCUAAUACAGUCGGGGGAUGACGGUACCGGAAGAAUAAGCACCGGCUAACUACGUGCCAGCAGCCGCGGUAAUACGUAGGGUGCAAGCGUUAAUCGGAAUUACUGGGCGUAAAGCGUGCGCAGGCGGUUUGCUAAGACCGAUGUGAAAUCCCCGGGCUCAACCUGGGAACUGCAUUGGUGACUGGCAGGCUAGAGUAUGGCAGAGGGGGGUAGAAUUCCACGUGUAGCAGUGAAAUGCGUAGAGAUGUGGAGGAAUACCGAUGGCGAAGGCAGCCCCCUGGGCCAAUACUGACGCUCAUGCACGAAAGCGUGGGGAGCAAACAGGAUUAGAUACCCUGGUAGUCCACGCCCUAAACGAUGUCGACUAGUUGUUGGGGAUUCAUUUCCUUAGUAACGUAGCUAACGCGUGAAGUUGACCGCCUGGGGAGUACGGUCGCAAGAUUAAAACUCAAAUGAAUUGACGGGGUCAUAGCUGUUUCCU